rnacentral:lncRNA from 1 species
CAGCACAGGAACAGGGAAGGGACGGGGACAUUUGGAGCCUCCUCGCUGCUUUCGGCGUGGGGCUGUGCUGUCUGCCCCCAGCAGCGCUCGGGGUCUCAGGGGCUGUGUCUCUCCUUAGCGUCAGGCUCCCAGGAGGGAGCUGGACAGGACAGGACCCUGCUCGCAGCCGGGGACUGGAUCUGCCCGUCUUCCGAAGCCAUCGCGGCGUGGCACUGGGAGCCGGCAGGACCCUGGGAAAGACCCUCCCCCCGGGGUUGCAGCGGCCAAGGACCCCUUGGGGAGCGUCGUCUGGUAGCUCCACAGGGACACUGUGGUGUGGGGACGUGGGUGCUCCCGCUGCCAGGGGCGCGGCAGGACCGGGGCCAGGACUGCCCCCGUGUCCCAGGGCACAGCUCCGCACGGGGCUGGCUCAUCAGCGGAGCCCUUCUCUGCACGUGGUUGCUGUUAGCAGAGAACAACCCUCCCUGCCGUAGCGAGCAGCUCUGGGCUGUUUUCAGAAGCUUUCUGGCCGCAGAGAACCUGCGGCCCCUUUUGCGCUGCCCCGGGGCAGCGAGGCCAGCGCUGGACGGGCUCAAAAAACCCUCUGUGGUGCCGAGUGCUGGGCCGGGCCGAGGAGCCCGACGGCUCCGGCCCCCUGCCGCAAGCUGGCCUGGCUCAUUAAAGUGCAGCUGUGCAGGAGGGCUCCCGGCCUGCGCCUCGACCUGUUGGGCUGGAAGUGGGCGAGCGGGUUUGGUGCGUCAGCCUUGGCCAGGGGUGGUGGCUCAGCCGCCGUGGCAGGGCAUGCUCGGGCUUCUUGGCACUGCCCGGCCCUCGGGCUGCCCCGGGAAGAGCCCAGCUCAGCCCACGCCACAGGAGCAAGGACGACCCCCGCAGCCACCACAGCCCCUGAAGCCACUCGCCAUCGCGGUGUGAUGUCCCCAGCCCCCGGUACCGAGAGCUGCUCUCCACCACGGCACGUCGUCAGCAGCCCCCAGCCCCACAAAGCUGGCUGCCCCCGUGGCACCGGCACCUGCAGACCCAGGGAGGGUUGUGCCGCGGCGUGUGCCAGGCCCGGGCAGCC